rnacentral:rRNA from 1 species
CCGCCAGAGAACUACAAGUGAAAAACUUAAAACUCAAAGGACUUGACGGUGUCCCAUACCGACCUAGAGGAGCCUGUCCUAUAAUCGAUACCCCCCGUUCCACCCAGCCUCAACUAGCAAAAACAGCCUAUAUACCGCCGUCGACCAGCCUACCCCAUGAGGGUUUAACAGUAGACACAAUAGCCCCCCCGCUAAUACGUCAGGUCAAGGUGUAGCAAAUGUGAGGAAGAGAUUGGCUACAUUUUUUAUGAUAAAAAAUACGAAAAGCACUAUGAAAUCGUGCAUGAAGGUGAAUUUAGUAGUAAAAU